GACGAACGCUGGCGGCGUGCUUAACACAUGCAAGUCGAACGGAAAGGCCCUGCUCUUGUGGUAUGCUCGAGUGGAGAACGGGUGAAUCACACGUGAGUACCCUGCCCUUGAUUUUGGUAUAUUUUCAGGAAACUGGGGCUUAUACCAGAUGGGAGCCCCUGCUGCAUGGUGGGGGUUGGAAAGUUUCGGCGGUUGGGGAUGGACUCGCGGCUUCUCCGCUUGUUGGUGGGGUAGUGGCUUACCAGGGCUUUGACGGGUAGCGGGCCUGAGAGGGUGACGGGCAACAUGGGGACGGAGAUACGGCCCGGACUCCAACGGAAGGAAGAAGGGGGGAAUAUGGCACAAUGGGCGGAAGCUUGAGGCAGCAACGCCGCGGGCGGGAGGACGGCCUUCGGUUGUUAAACCGCUUGCGCCUGUGACGAAGUGUGAGUGACGGUAGUGGGUAAAGAAGCACCGGCUAACUACGUG
rnacentral:rRNA from 1 species